GUUGCAGUGGCCGAGUUGUUAAGGCGUUGGACUUGAAAUCCAAUGGGAAUUCCCGCGCAGGUUCGAACCCUGCCCGCAACG
rfam:Nematostella vectensis strain CH2 x CH6 NEMVEscaffold_380_Cont25563, whole genome shotgun sequence.